rnacentral:rRNA from 2 species
UUCCGGUUGAUCCUGCCGGACCUGACUGCUAUCGGAUUGAUACUAAGCCAUGCGAGUCAUUGUAGCAAUACAAGGCAUACGGCUCAGUAACGCGUAGUCAACCUACCCUAUGGACGGAAAUAACCUCGGGAAACUGAGAAUAAUAUCCGAUAGAACAUUAUGCCUGGAAUGGUUUAUGUUCCAAAUGAUUUAUCGCCGUAGGAUGGGACUGCGGCCUAUCAGUUUGUUGGUGAGGUAAUGGCCCACCAAGACUAUUACAGGUACGGGCUCUGAGAGGAGUAGCCCGGAGAUGGGUACUGAGACACGGACCCAGGCCCUAUGGGGGCGCAGCAGGCGAGAAAACUUUGCAAUGUGGCGAAAGCACGAACAAGGUUAAUUCCGAGUUGAUUUUCUGCUAAAGAAAUCUUUUGUUAGUCCUUAGAAACACUAACGAAUAAGGGGUGGGCAAGUUCUGGUGUCAGCCGCCGCGGUAAAAACCAGCACCUCAAGUGGUCAGGAUGAUUAUUGGGCCUAAAGCAUCCGUAGCCGGCUCUGUAAGUCCUCGGUUAAAUCUGUACGCUUAACGUACAGGCUGCCGGGAAUACUGCAUAGCUAGGGAGUGGGAGAGGUAGACGGUACUCGGUAGGAAGGGGUAAAAUCCCUUUGAUCUAUUGAUGACCACCUGUGGCGAAGGCGGUCUACCAGAACACGUCCGACGGUGAGGGAUGAAAGCUGGGGGAGCAAACCGGAUUAGAUACCCGGGUAGUCCCAGCUGUAAACUAUGCAAACUCAGUGAUGCAUUGGCUUGUGGCCAAUGCAGUGCUGCAGGGAAGCCGUUAAGUUUGCCGCCUGGGAAGUACGUACGCAAGUAUGAAACUUAAAGGAAUUGGCGGGGGGAGCAUCCACAAGGGKUGAAGCCUGCGGUUCAAUUGGAGUCAACGCCGG